rnacentral:lncRNA from 1 species
UUUAUUUCAAUUGUAGUCCCUAUUCUUUUGAUUUUUAAUUUUUGUUCUUAACUCUUUUUGAAAAUUUUGUUUGUUUUCAAUUUAGUCUUUUAAUAAUUUGUCAUGUUUAUUUUUUCCAAUUCGAUCUUUAUUUUUUUUAUUUUUUUAUUUUAGCAUUUUUAUUAAAGUUUUAUCGGUUUUUAUUUUCAUCAUUUAAUCAAAGUUUAUAAAGUAUUAUUUUUUUCAAUUUGGUCCUCGUUCUUUUGGUUUUUUUUCUUUUGUUAAAGUUAUUUUUCU